rnacentral:rRNA from 1 species
AUUGAACGCUGGCGGAAUGCUUUACACAUGCAAGUCGAACGGCAGCACGGACUUCGGUCUGGCGGCGAGUGGCGAACGGGUGAGUAAUGUAUCGGAACGUGCCCAGUCGUGGGGGAUAACGUAGUGAAAAUUACGCUAAUACCGCAUACGAUCUAUGGAUGAAAGCGGGGGAUCGCAAGACCUCGCGCGAUUGGAGCGGCCGAUAUCAGAUUAGGUAGUUGGUGGGGUAAAGGCCCACCAAGCCAACGAUCUGUAGCUGGUCUGAGAGGACGACCAGCCACACUGGAACUGAGACACGGUCCAGACUCCUACGGGAGGCAGCAGUGGGGAAUUUUGGACAAUGGGCGAAAGCCUGAUCCAGCCAUUCCGCGUGCAGGAUGAAGGCCCUCGGGUUGUAAACUGCGUUGUACAGAACGAAAAGGUUUCUACUAAUACUAGGAGCUCAUGACGGUACUGUAAGAAUAAGCACCGGCUAACUACGUGCCAGCCGCCGCUGUAA